rnacentral:rRNA from 1 species
GAUGAACGCUGGCGGCGUGCCUAAUACAUGCAAGUCGAGCGAACAGACGAGGAGCUUGCUCCUCUGACGUUAGCGGCGGACGGGUGAGUAACACGUGGAUAACCUACCUAUAAGACUGGGAUAACUUCGGGAAACCGGAGCUAAUACCGGAUAAUAUAUUGAACCGCAUAGUUCAAUAGUGAAAGACGGUUUUGCUGUCACUUAUAGAUGGAUCCGCGCCGCAUUAGCUAGUUGGUAAGGUAACGGCUUACCAAGGCAACGAUGCGUAGCCGACCUGAGAGGGUGAUCGGCCACACUGGAACUGAGACACGGUCCAGACUCCUACGGGAGGCAGCAGUAGGGAAUCUUCCGCAAUGGGCGAAAGCUUGACGGAGCAACGCCGCGUGAGUGAUGAAGGUCUUCGGAUCGUAAAACUCUGUUAUUAGGGAAGAACAAAUGUGUAAGUAACUAUGCACGUCUUGACGGUACCUAAUCAGAAAGCCACGGCUAACUACGUG